ACGAGUGGCGGACGGGUGAGUAAUGCUUGGGAACUUGCCUUUGCGAGGGGGAUAACAGUUGGAAACGACUGCUAAUACCGCAUAAUGUCUACGGACCAAACGGGGCUUAGGCUCCGGCGCAAAGAGAGGCCCAAGUGAGAUUAGCUAGAUGGUGAGGUAAAGGCUCACCAUGGCAACGAUCUCUAGCUGUUCUGAGAGGAAGAUCAGCCACACUGGGACUGAGACACGGCCCAGACUCCUACGGGAGGCAGCAGUGGGGAAUAUUGCACAAUGGGGGAAACCCUGAUGCAGCCAUGCCGCGUGUGUGAAGAAGGCCUUCGGGUUGUAAAGCACUUUCAGUUGUGAGGAAAGGGUGUUGGUUAAUACCCAAUAUCUGUGACGUUAACAACAGAAGAAGCACCGGCUAACUCCGUGCCAGCAGCCGCGGUAAUACGGAGGGUGCGAGCGUUAAUCGGAAUUACUGGGCGUAAAGCGCACGCAGGCGGUUUGUUAAGCUAGAUGUGAAAGCCCCGGGCUCAACCUGGGACGGUCAUUUAGAACUGGCAGACUAGAGUCUUGGAGAGGGGAGUGGAAUUCCAGGUGUAGCGGUGAAAUGCGUAGAUAUCUGGAGGAACAUCAGUGGCGAAGGCGACUCCCUGGCCGAAGACUGACGCUCAUGUGCGAAAGUGUGGGGUAGCGAACAGGAUUAGAUACCCUGGUAGUCCACACCGUACACGCUGUCUACUAGCUGUGUGUGAAUUUAAUUCGUG
rnacentral:rRNA from 1 species